AGUGAACGCUGGCGGUAGGCCUAACACAUGCAAGUCGAACGGCAGCACAGUAAGAGCUUGCUCUUACGGGUGGCGAGUGGCGGACGGGUGAGGAAUACAUCGGAAUCUACUUUUUCGUGGGGGAUAACGUAGGGAAACUUACGCUAAUACCGCAUACGACCUACGGGUGAAAGCAGGGGAUCUUCGGACCUUGCGCGAUUGAAUGAGCCGAUGUCGGAUUAGCUAGUUGGCGGGGUAAAGGCCCACCAAGGCGACGAUCCGUAGCUGGUCUGAGAGGAUGAUCAGCCACACUGGAACUGAGACACGGUCCAGACUCCUACGGGAGGCAGCAGUGGGGAAUAUUCCGCAAUGGGCGAAAGCCUGAUGGAGCAAUGCCGCGUGAGUGAAGAAGGUCUUCGGAUCGUAAAACUCUUUUGUUAGGGAAGAAAAGAUGUAUAUUAAUAUAUGGAUGUUUUGACGGUACCUAAAGAGAAAGCCACGGCUAACUUCGUG
rnacentral:rRNA from 1 species